UACGUAGGUGGCAAGCGUUGUCCGGAAUUAAUGGGCGUAAAGCGCGCGCAGGUGGUUCCUUAAGUCUGAUGUGAAAGCCCACGGCUCAACCGUGGAGGGUCAUUGGAAACUGGGGAACUUGAGUGCAGAAGAGGAAAGUGGAAUUCCAAGUGUAGCGGUGAAAUGCGUAGAGAUUUGGAGGAACACCAGUGGCGAAGGCGACUUUCUGGUCUGUAACUGACACUGAGGCGCGAAAGCGUGGGGAGCAAACAGG
rnacentral:rRNA from 1 species